AUGGGCUCCAGGCUCCUCUGCUGUGUGGCCAUCUGUCUGCUGGGGGCAGAUCACACAGGUGCUGGAGUUUCCCAGUCCCCCAGGUACAGGGUCACAGAGAGGGUACAGAAUGUAACUCUCAGGUGUGAUCCAGUUUCUGGUCAUGCAACACUUUAUUGGUACCGACAGAUCCUGAAGCAAGGCCCAGAGUUUUUGAUCUACUUCCAAAAUAAGGACACACCAGACAAAUCGGGAAUGCCUGAUGACCGCUUCUCUGCUGAGAGGCCUGACGGCUCAUUCUCCACUCUGAAGAUCCAGUCCGCAGAGCAGGGGGACUCGACUGUGUAUCUCUGUGCCAGCAGCUCAGCCACAGUGUGGCACGGUUCAGUGCAUGCUGGAGUCAUCCAGUCCCCAAGACACCUAAUCAAAGGAGAAGGGGGACAGACCAUUCUGAAAUGCCAUCCUGUCUCUGGACACAACACCGUGUCCUGGUAUCAGCAGGCUCCGGGUCAGGGCCUCCAGUUCCUCAUUUCGUAUUAUGAAAAGACGCAGAGAGAUAAAGGAAACUUCUCUAGUCGAUUCUCAGCUCAGCAGUUCAGUGACUACCACUCUGAGCUGAACAUGAACUCCUUGGAGCUGGGGGACUCAGCCUCGUAUCUCUGUGCCAGCAGCUUGGGCACAGCCCUGCAGACUUAG